rnacentral:lncRNA from 1 species
CUCUUUUAAAAGCUGUCAAGCAGUAUUUUGCCUCCCUGGAAAAAAAAUGUCCACAUAUCCCAUUCCUGCUGUUCAGCAGCAGCAGCAGCCUGGAAUGGACACCCAGGAAGUUCAACUGAGUGGAGCAGGUUCAAAAAGCAUUUAUUUAACUGAAGAUAGAAUUGGCUGCCUUCUUCUGCAUGAAGAAAACAUUCUCUAUGGCCUUUUACUUCCAUUACUUCCUCUUUUUUUUGGAGGAAGAAUCAAAAACCAUUUGCAAUGAUUAUACAGAAUGGACAUAAUACUCUCUUGGCAGGGCUAGCUGUAAGGCUUUCACAGACUGCAGCACCCUGGAUCCAUUCCUGAUCUACUCAGCCUGUAUGAAACUAUAUUUGUGUCCCAACGUGGUCCUACACAAAUGGCAGGAAGAUUUCCUCACUUUUACUUUGGGAGGAGAUACGACUUUGCUGCUGGAAAUAGACUGAAUAUUGCAAUCACAGGAAAUAAUGACACAUCAAAAUAGAUCUUAAAAUUUUGUAAACUGUCUAAAGGAAAUACCAAAUCUGGCCUGGAAAUAAAGAGUUUCUGGAUCAGUGUUAGUGAACA